ACCUUGGGGCCAUUCCGCAUAAUCGUUUGGUCGGGUUGAUGUCUUUUGAGUCAUCGUCGAUGGACUGGAGUCUUGAUGGUGGUCAUAUGCUGGAGUAGCCGGGAUUUGUUGUGUCGUCUGACUGUUUGGGUACUUGGAGACGAUCGCCGAUGGUCAUUUUGUCAAGUUGGAUGCUCAGGAGUCGGUUC
rnacentral:sRNA from 1 species